UGCUUCUGUAUGGCCAGUUUCUUGGUGGGGGAUGGGAAGGGGGUGUGAUUGAGGGUUUGCGGUUUGCCGUGCGCAUGCGCGACCUCCUCAGCCGGCGCACGGCGUGGUGAGUCGGGAAGUGAUGUCCUGUCAGGAAGGAAAUACUCGGUGCUUUUCCUUCCUUUUACUUCUGAGCGACGUUAGGUGACAUUUACACAGGGGCCUCUAGUGGUAACUCAUAGAGAGAUUGAUUGAUUAGAACCAUGGAUCAGAAGCUAAAAGAAAGAGCAGUCAUUGAAUUUCUGGCAAAAGAAGAUUGUGCACCUAAAGAAAUCCAUCAUCGCUUGAAGAAUGUUUAUGGGGACACUGUAAUGGGCAUCAGCAAUGUGCGGCGUUGUGUGAAGAAGUUCAAAAACAGAGAAAUGGAAAUCGCAGAUAAACCAAGUAGCGGUCGGCCAUCAACAUCAGUCACAGAUGCAAAUCAAGAACGUGCUGAUGAAUGGAUUUGAGGAGACAGAUGCGUUAACAGUUCAGAACGUCUCAUAUGGCUCUGCCCAAGGAAUCAUUGCUGACUUGGGAUAUCACAAAGUGUGUGCUAAGUGGGUUCCCAAGCAAUUGACUGAUGAUAAACCUGAUUGUUUUUAUGACACAGGAGGCAAAAAAAUUGACCCACCCAUGUAUGUUUUCACAAGGGGAAGUUGCUUUGGGAGGCAAACAACAGAGGUAUUAAAUGCUAAACCCUGUUGACUCUCCAUUUUAUUUUUCUUUACAUUAGCAUUUUCUAGAUUGUUGUUAUUAUUAUUAACCUUUAUAUCUAUUUUUAAUGUGCCUGUGUGUGUUUGUGUUUAGUAAAGAUACGUUUUAUAAAAAAUCUCAAAAUAUUGAA